UGUUUUUGAACUACAGUUCCCAUCAUCUCUGAACACUGGUUUUGGGAUGAUGGGAAUUGUAGUCCAACAACA